GUUGUUUGUGUGAUUCAACAGCCAGUGUUAUUCCAAAUUGAGAGAGUCAAUCAAACCCACAGAUUGAGAGAGUCAAUCAUCAACUAUCCAACAUCAUCUAUCCAUCUUCCAUGUUCAAUCAUCUAUCCAUAAACCAUUCCAUCCCUUUAUCUUUUAGUUUCUGUUCUUAUUUUAAUUAUUCAUAAACUCAUUGUUCUUCAUUGUUUCCAGGUUAGAUUGGAUUAAAAGGAAGAUCAAGUCGGCCAUCCUCACCAUCUUUCCAUCCGGUCUUCAUCCUUACCGAUAAGACAACCCAUCGCCCAUCCAUUUCAUC
rnacentral:lncRNA from 1 species